ensembl:snoRNA SNORA71 Small nucleolar RNA SNORA71
ACCUGCAUUCAAAAGGUGGCCAUGGGCUGUCCGUGCUCUGGUCGUUGAUAAUGCAGGGAGAGGAAUUGUGGAAAGCAAUUUCCCGUGUUUGGAGGGUCCACACCUGUCCCUUUCAAAUGCUGGCGCUUUCACACA